rnacentral:rRNA from 1 species
CCGAACGGUGGGUGUUGAACUUAAUUUAGUGGCGGACGGGUGAGUAACGCGUGAGUAACCUGCCUUUCAGAGGGGGAUAACGUCUGGAAACGGACGCUAAUACCGCAUGACAUAUCUUGGUCGCAUGGCCGGGAUAUCAAAGGAGCAAUCCGCUGAAAGAUGGACUCGCGUCCGAUUAGCUAGUUGGUGAGAUAAAGGCCCACCAAGGCGACGAUCGGUAGCCGGACUGAGAGGUUGAACGGCCACAUUGGGACUGAGACACGGCCCAGACUCCUACGGGAGGCAGCAGUGGGGGAUAUUGCACAAUGGAGGAAACUCUGAUGCAGCAACGCCGCGUGAGGGAAGACGGUUUUCGGAUUGUAAACCUCUGUCCUUGGUGACGAAAAAAAUGACGGUAGCCAAGGAGGAAGCUCCGGCUAACUACGUGCCAGCAGCCGCGGUAAUACGUAGGGAGCAAGCGUUGUCCGGAUUUACUGGGUGUAAAGGGUGCGUAGGCGGCACUGCAAGUCAGGCGUGAAAUAUAUGGGCUUAACCCAUAGACUGCGUUUGAAACUGUGGUGCUUGAGUGAAGUAGAGGUAGGCGGAAUUCCCGGUGUAGCGGUGAAAUGCGUAGAGAUCGGGAGGAACACCAGUGGCGAAGGCGGCUUACUGGGCUUUAACUGACGCUGAGGCACGAAAGCAUGGGUAGCAAACAGGAUUAGAUACCCUGGUAGUCCAUGCCGUAAACGAUGAUUACUAGGUGU